GUAGGUUUGUAUUCUAUUUAUUAAUACAUACUUGCUUCUAUUUAUAGGACUACUACCAAUUCUUAUCUCCUUAGGAUGAGGAGGCUGGCCGUCCGAUCUUCGAGCAGAUGGCCAUAUGUAGGUUUUGAGAUGGACUACAUAGUCUACGACAGUCUGCCAUCAAGCAUUUUGAUUUUUAGUCGUCAUCAGACUGAAAGUCCUAUAGGGAUUAUUGGAUACGGAUGGAUGUAUGGAAGGCCCUCUGCGAUCAGUGGACUAGCG
rnacentral:lncRNA from 1 species